GACGAACGCUGGCGGCGUGCUUAACACAUGCAAGUCGAACGGAAAGGCCCUGCUUUUGUGGGGUGCUCGAGUGGCGAACGGGUGAGUAACACGUGAGUAACCUGCCCUUGACUUUGGGAUAACUUCAGGAAACUGGGGCUAAUACCGGAUAGGAGCUCCUGCUGCAUGGUGGGGGUUGGAGAGUUUCGGCGGUUGGGGAUGGACUCGCGGCUUAUCAGCUUGUUGGUGGGGUAGUGGCUUACCAAGGCUUUGACGGGUAGCCGGCCUGAGAGGGUGACCGGCCACAUUGGGACUGAGAUACGGCCCAGACUCCUACGGGAGGCAGCAGUGGGGAAUAUUGCACAAUGGGCGGAAGCCUGAUGCAGCAACGCCGCGUGCGGGAUGACGACCUUCGGGUUGUAAACCGCUUUCGCCUGUGACGAAGCGUGAGUGACGGUAAUGGGUAAAGAAGCACCGGCUAACUACGUG
rnacentral:rRNA from 1 species